UAAAGUAGAUGCCACCACUAGGCAGACACUGACACAAACAUCACUAAAACUGCUGUUACUGAUGUAAUUUUUAUUCAAAACAUUUCCCUUUCCUUUAACAGUCAGGCAACCAAGCUGAAAUGCUGUUCUUUACACACAACAGAAUUCUGGCAAAUGAUCCAAAGAUACGAAUAAACAGAACUCAGAAGACUGACCAUACUGUUAUUCUCUCUUCAUGAGUAAUAGUCCUCCUGACAUCAUCACAAAGCACAUUUCCCACUUCCAAAUGGUUGGGAUUCUUCAUAUAUCAGAUGAGAAUUGCUGGCUGGCUGAUUUGCAUACCAUCUAUGUGACUGUUCAUCACCUAACAAAGCUUUCAUCAUACAAUCUUCUGGGGUCCUGGUGUGUUCCUCAUCAACCUACUGAGUCAUCAAGAACUCCAUAUUGUAGAUUUGUUAACAUGAAUUCAUUACAUCUUUGUACCCUGCAAAAAGGCUUGUAUUAACUCACUAAGGUCAGAAAAGAACCUUGAUCUGACUCUGAUUAAACCAAAUCUUUUCCUUUCCUCCCGCCCCCACCCCUUCACUGGAUUGUUCACACAAUACUGAGCUACAGUCAGCUCAGCUGCCUUUUAUACUUGAUCCAAUUAGAAGAGAUUGUCAGGGAGGAAUUAGGACUUUUAAGCUUUUCAGCAAAGCUCAGAUAGUAAUUAGUUUUCCAUUCUUCUUGCUUUUCUUUAAUAGGGAGGAAUGUUGAGACUGGAAGCCCCAGAGAAUGCAUGAAAGAGUAAUUUUUCUGUUUGUGGAAGUAUAGAUAAAGUAGUAGGUGUUCUCUCAUACAGUUCACAGAGCAAGCCAGGAUGUCUGUGGAAAUAUCUAGAAUUUAUGACAGAAAAUAUACCAUGUCCUAAGCAUCUAAUGGAAAAGGAUGGGGAGAACAGACUUUUGAAGACUAAGGAAAUGAAGUGAUGAUGGUGUAUUUGAGGCACAUACCACUUACAAAUUUAUUUUCCUUUCUCUAAUCCAAGGAACCACAGCCUGAGGAGAGAAACCCCUUGCAAAUGUAUAGUUUUCAAAGGAGAGUGAAUGGCUAUUAAGCCAACGUCAGUCCAGUUAAAAGACAAGCCAUAGACAAGCAUCUCUGAGGACAGAUAUGCAGAUUGUCCACAACAAAAAUUCAUGAAAAAUGAGUCUACACAGAAAACUUUAGCAAAAUAUGAGCGGUGAGAUAAGAUGAUGAGUGAG
rnacentral:lncRNA from 1 species